UAAAAAAUGGUGCCUAGGAAGGUUUCACUGAGGUGGCAAUUGAGCAAAAACCUAAAGAAAGUCUGAGAAUUAGGCAGAUUGAUAACUGAGGGAAAACUGUUGUAAGCAGAGGGGAAGGAAUGUCUGGGGAGGAAUGUCUUUGAGCGAGGAGGCCUUUGUGGCUGGAGCUGAUGAAUAAGGCAGGAAUGGUAACUAUUAUAUUAACCCUUUUGUUUAAUACUCUCUAGGGGACCAGGUUAUGUAGGACAAACUGUAAAUACUUUGGCAUUUACUCAUAGUGUGAUGGGAUUCUAUUAAAAGUUUCUGAGAGAAGAGUGGCAUGAAUUGAUGGGUUUUCAAAUGAACCUUUCUGACUGCUAGGAUGGAAGUGGACAGCAGGAGGGCAAAGUGGAAGCAGAGAGACCAGUUAGGAGGCUAUCUCAAUAAUCCAGGACUUGAUUCAGUUCUGGCCAAUGAGAUGUAAGCCGAUGUUGGAUGAAAGUUGUUACAGAAUGGGAAAGAGCCUGAAAACUAAUGCAGUUUGAAGAAAGCAAUAAUCAAACUCUUGAGUUUUUUUCUCUCUUUAUAUUAAAAUACGGGAAUAGAGAGGCCUGAGGAGAGGCAGACAGAUGGGGGAACAGCUGGUAAGUGGAACAGUCAGAACACACACAACAUUUAUGAAGUUCCUCAUCUUACAUGGACAUCAUUCAUGGCUCCCACAAACAAUUGUAAUAGUAUCAUCAAAGAUCACUGCUCACAGGUCAUUAUAACAGACAUAAUAAUGAAAAUGUUGGAAUUAUUGUGAGAAUUACCAAAAUGUGACACAGA